AAUAUCUUUUCCACUAUACCGAGGUUCAGCAAUUUGAUUCGUAUUAAGGUCACACAAGCAGUUUGGUUUUCAGAUUUGUCUUGACAAACAUAUUUGGUUCAGCAAUUUAAUUCAUAUUAAAGUCACACAAGCAGUUUGGUUUUUAGAUUUGUCUUGACAAACAUAUUUUGCAGAUUAUCCUCGCAUAUGAAAUUGAUUUCUGCAAGUUCCUUUCACUUCUUAUUUAUUUCUUCACUUGGUUAUGAUGUACUGCUAUUCGUUUUCAUGAUGAUUCAUGCGUUUUGUAGUUUUCACUGACAGAAUCUUGUCUUGAAACAAGAUUGGUUCCCAUUGUUACAGUGAAGUAGCUACCAAGCAGCGAGGCCAUCGAGUGACACGAGACCGCGGGACGGCGUGAGAAGAAGCAGGGGGUGUCUGGCGGGAUGGAGAAGACCACAGGGAAGUGUGGCAACGGAGUGCAAUCCCGAAGAAGAAGAACAUUGCAAAGAAAGACCCUGGCUAAGCGCCACCCAAUUCUCUUUCACCGACCCAUCUAAUGGCCAUCAAUUCAAUUGGUCCAAGCUGUUGUGUUGACCUUCCCAUUGAUCCACUACAUCCUCGCUCAGCUGGUUCUGCUAUGUUUCUUCUCCAUGGCAUUGCUGGUUGCCGGCGUGCCUGACAUCGCGCCUUAUGUGACCUGACAUGAUGCUCCUCUACGUGUUCUUCUCACCCCGGUUUCCAUGAGGAGAGAUGUUGUUCUGUGGUUCCGUAGUUCUACUCCAUAGCAAUGAUGGAGUCGCCUCCAUAUGGAUAGCAAUUAUCUCGGGAUCAUGAGAGCUGUCUACGCAACGGCCAGGGGGCAUAUGCUUCUCCUAGCACUAACACCUUCAUCCUAUUUGAGCCAGAAUGGCUUUGGUGCCCUCUCUCGCUCAUGGUGAGGCCGUGCAUGCUUGCCAUGGUUGUGGCUACGAAAUCUCAGACUGAGUCGCUUCGGUCGGCACUAUUCAGUACAUUGGUUUUGCUCACAUCACAAAUAUCUAACAACAAGAGUGAUUACUGAAAGCAUAAAAUAUAUUGGCGACCAAACAUCAGAGGCCCAAUUAGUUACAAGACUGACUCAUUGGGGUUUCGCUUGGAGCAUUCUUGAGAUGUUCAGUGGCGUUCAGACUUGGUGUGCCAAAUCACCAGAUGAGAUUUAUCAGUCAGUUGUCCUGAAGAAAUAGAAACCGAUGUUCCUGUACAAUUUACCUACGAAGGUCGCUAAUGUCCUCUCUGGCUGCUAUGAGUAUGACUUUCGGGAUCACUCCUUGAUGUUAGAUAUCUUACAGUCAUUUGAAAGGUUUCUCUACAUUAGCUUUGUGUAUUCAAAUUUUUUGUUCCUGACAAGAAGUGCAUUGCACAUGCACACUUAUAUGAAUCAAGCCUUACAUGAUUUGCUCUUUUACUGAUGGACUGAGGAGGUCAGAGAUGUAUAACAGCCGUAUUGAUCCAAAUGACAAGUACGGCAGUGCUAACCUGCUUACCUAGAAUUUUACCACAUCCUAAGACUUGCAAAUCUGUAUAAUAGGAAUGGCUAGCUGUUUUCUGGUUUACAACCGUGACAUGUGGUGGCAUCUCUCAUCAUGUCUGCACAUAGUGUUUAGGCAUGAUUCUUGCAUACUGUCGAGACUCGAGAAGGGCGCAACAUUUUUCCUGAACUGAUUUUUAAUUUUUUUUGCUUACCGGUUGAGCUCGGUUUCAACUCUUACCUGAGUAGUUGAUAGGCAAGCCCGAUGCAGGUGUAUGGAAAUUAUGCAAUUCCAUGAGGUUUGGAGUUGUCCAGUAUACUACUGAGGCCUACAUAUUUUGCUGAUGCAGGUUGGAGGUGACACAUGAACGCUGGCAAUGCAAAAUAGCAGAUAUAAAAUAACUGCAGCUCAGGCCAUGUAGUUCUACAACAACCAAGGAAGAAGUCCGUUUUUUAAGCCGACCUUGGCCAAGCAUUUAAGCUUAUAUGGAUGCUCUCUAUUUUUCAGAGGUGCGUGUACUGAGGACGCCCAUGAUUUAGGGCCAAAAAUCUAGACAAAGUGACAAAACUUUGUACGAGACUUACUUGAAGCCAAGGAGGUCAGGGGAGGAGGGCAACAAGGCUGGGGAGCGGAGGCAGAGGCCGACGGGGAAGAGAAUGAUCAAGCAUGUAAAUCUAGAGCACAAGCUCGUGAUUUAUCAAGGGAGUGGCGCUACCGCCGGAUUAGAAAAUCAUAUCUCACGUUAAGGUGUUUUUGUCUUUUGUUUUUGUACAAAUUUGGUGAAGGCAAAUUUUUGAUGAUCUAUAUAAGAUGACUAGCAUUAUCUUUUUA